GCAGUAGCGAAUUAACCACUUUGCCCCUAUAUUAACCCUGCUGCUUCGGCAGCUAUGGCGCUAAACGUAUUGCGAAAUAAACGUUUCGGACCCGGGGGCAGUGCCCGGCGGCUCCACCAAUUGCGGUUCCAGGUUCAAACCUGGGCCGCCUAUGGGGCCGAUCCAGGAUCGACGGGCGUGGUAAAGGCAAUGCUUGUUCCCGGCAUGGUUCCGCCGUUAUCGGGCCAUUUUAAAAGUGCCAACGACAACGUUGCACUCGUUGAAGACGUCCGUCUCGCCGCCUAACGGCCGCUAGACACUUAGUCUAAGACGCGGUUCGGAGGGGCACCGGGCAACAGAAGCCCCUCCACU
rnacentral:tmRNA from 1 species